rnacentral:lncRNA from 10 species
GGAACUCAGCUUCCAAGGUUUCUCUGGGGUCCUCUUGGCCAAAAGGGGGUACGUUCAUUCUGCUGGGGAGCUUGGAUUUCAUUAUUGAUAUGGCUUGGAUGUGUGUUCCCUGCAAAUCUCAUGUUGAACUACAGGUGGGUACAACUCGAAGCAAGGACGGGGCUUCCAGGUCACAGCAACUGCCAAAAGGUGCUUCUGGCAGGCUGCCAGCCACAGUACCUCAUCCCAGAAGUGGAUGUAUCAGGAGUCCAUUCAAGACAGCAGGAAGGGAGAAGAAAGGAUAAAAGGGUACCCUUCCUUUUUAAAGAUUUGUGGUUAGCAGAAUAAUGAUCUACCCAGAGAGGUUCGUGUCUGAAUCCCCCAGAACCUGUGAAUAGAUUAGGUUGCAUGGAAAGGAGAAGUAGGGUUGCUAAUCUGCUGAUUUUAAGGUGGGGAGAUGCCUGGAUUAUCCAGAUGGACCCGGUGUAAUCACAAGGGUCCUUAAGUGUGGAAGAGAUAGGCAGAACAGGCAAUGUCAGGAUGGUGCGAUGUAAGAACAACUCAGUCAGCCAUCACUGACUUUGAAGAUGGAAGAAGACACUAACCAAGGCACGUGGCAGCCUCUAGAAUCUAGAAAAGGUGAGGAAACAGAUUCUCCCCUACAGCCUCCAGAAGGAACAGCCCCCCAGACACCUUGAUUGUAGCCUGGUGAGACCCAUAUCAAACUUCUGACCUCCAGAACUGUAAGUCAAUAAAUUUAUGUUGUUUUAAGCUACUGCAUUUGUGGUGAUCUGUUACAAUAAUAGGAGCUGAUACAGGAUCUUUCUGUAAAGGACCACACACCUGUCAUUGGCCAGAAUUUAACCACCUAGCCAUCCCUAGCUACAAGAGAGAUGGGCACAUUGCCAACAUGAAUAAAAUCAGGAGAAUUUAUGUCAUUACCAGGGGAAGGAGGAAAUGUAUGUUGGAGUGAACAAAUGGCAGCCUCAGUCACAGAAUCCCAUUCCUCUGGCCACAGUGACGUUCCAAAGAUGGGCAUAGGAGUCAACAACACACUAGCUGUCCUCUGAGAUCGUAUUUGGACGUUAGAAGAAAAAUCUCUUUCUCAUGGAGAUGCUAAGCCUGGAGCUUACUCUAGCCACUCCCUCCACCCUGCCACCCACCAGGAGAGAAUGAGUUCAACAAAAAAGAGAGGAAGAGCUAAGAGAUGGACAUUGUUCUAGUUCUCUAUUUUUGUGUAACAAGUCACCUCAGAAAUUAAAUUAGUGGCUUAAAAUAACAACAAUCACUUUAUUAUUAUUGUUUUCAUGGCUCUGGGGUUAGUUGGGCUCACCUGGGUGG